GCUAAAGAAGCUACAGAAUCAGCUUUUAAGGAUGGAAAACAGCUAUUGGACUACCAUCUGUACCAGGUUCCACAUAGAUGUUGUUUGUCAGGUGAAAAGGUCCUGGUUUGUUUCUGUUCAGCUGAUGGCGAGGGUGAAAUUGAGAUGACAGGAAGCAUGCUUCUCAUUACAGAAUUAUGUGAUCACUUUGUACCUACAGAGAAAGCGACCCAUACAAAAAAGGCACUGCAAAGAGAACAGAAACCCAUCUCCACGGCAUGAAGACUGGUGAGCUGGGAAAUGCUCCAUGUUGAAAUUGAAACUUUUGAUUCCCGGUUCCUGAUACGCCCACUU